CCGGAUUUAUUGGGCGUAAAGCGAGCGCAGGCGGUUUGAUAAGUCUGAAGUUAAAGGCUGUGGCUCAACCAUAGUUCGCUUUGGAAACUGUCAAACUUGAGUGCAGAAGGGGAGAGUGGAAUUCCAUGUGUAGCGGUGAAAUGCGUAGAUAUAUGGAGGAACACCGGUGGCGAAAGCGGCUCUCUGGUCUGUAACUGACGCUGAGGCUCGAAAGCGUGGGGAGCGAACAGGAUUAGAUACCCUGGUAGUCCACGCCGUAAACGAUGAGUGCUAGGUGUUGGAUCCUUUCCGGGAUUCAGUGCCGCAGCUAACGCAUUAAGCACUCCGCCUGGGGAGUACGACCGCAAGGUUGAAACUCAAAGGAAUUGACGGGGGCCCGCACAAGCGGUGGAGCAUGUGGUUUAAUUCGAAGCAACGCGAAGAACCUUACCAGGUCUUGACAUCCCGAUGCUAUUUCUAGAGAUAGAAAGUUA
rnacentral:rRNA from 1 species